rnacentral:rRNA from 1 species
UACAGAGGUCUCAAGCGUUGUUCGGAUUCAUUGGGCGUAAAGGGUGCGUAGGUGGCGCUGUAAGUCGGGUGUGAAAUUUCGGAGCUUAACUCCGAAACUGCAUUCGAUACUGCGGUGCUUGAGGACUGGAGAGGAGACUGGAAUUCAUGGUGUAGCAGUGAAAUGCGCAGAUAUCAGGAGGAACACCAAUGGCGAAGGCAGCUCGCUGGGACGUGACUGACGCUGAGACGCGAAAGCGUGGGGAGCAAACAGG